rnacentral:tRNA from 1 species
CCCGGGCCCUGCGGGAGAACGACGUGCCCGCUGCCGUCGCCGCCGACGACGCCUUCCACGGGGUGCCCGUGAC